AGGACGAACGCUGGCGGCGUGCCUAACACAUGCAAGUCGAACGCGCUCCAUUCGGUAGCAAUACUGAUGAAGAGCGAGUGGCGAACGGGUGAGUAGCACGUGAGCAAACCUGCCCCGAAGACUGGGACAACACCGGGAAACCGGUGCUAAUACCGGAUAUCCCUAUUGGAUCGCAUGAUCCGAUAAGGAAAUGUUUUUCGCUUCGGGAGGGGCUCGCGGCCUAUCGGCUAGUUGGUGGGGUAACGGCCCACCAAGGCAUCGACGGGUAGC
rnacentral:rRNA from 1 species